AGACAGAGAGAGAGAGAGAGAGAGAGAGAUAAGAAUUCCGUCUGUAUUCGAUGGAUAAAGAGCGAGGAAGAGAGAGAGCGAUGAAGUCUCCUCCUCCUGUUUACAAUUCCCCUGUGCAGUCAAUGUUUAUCGCCGCGUAAUCACUGUCAAACGGAACGAGAAGCGGAAUUCGCGCAUCCGUCGACGAUACAGCUUCAAGCGUGCGACUUUGUCUCCUCCUUUUUUUUUUCUCAUCGCAAAUGAACGGAUCUCCCCGCUUCUUUCGCGCUUGCAUUCAGCAUCACAUCAGCAUCAGCAGUGCUGUACGAUUCCACGAGCCGGUCUCAUACGCGAUAUUCCCGUCGCGUUUUACAGACAGUAAACGCGCGAUCGGAUGGCUACGCUGCGUUAAUUAACUGAGAAAAAAACGGAGGAAAAACAAAUAAAAAGGACUGCUCGAUUGCGAGAGAUCGGCGCGAACGGGAUCGAUUUUUCAUUCGCGUACUCGGAGGCAUUUAAAGUCGCGAGACGAUACAAAGUGCGCGUCGUCCUUGCCAAUUGAUCGACGGAAUUUUUUUACGGUAGAACGCGUUUGAUAAUCGUCCGCGGUUGUGCUCGGAUGCGAAAUUUAUUAUACGCUAUAUUAUGCCGCGAGAUGAUAAUGCUCGACAGAUAGCGUACGGCUUCGAUGAACGUAGAGGAAUUUUCGCGAUCGACGGACCAUGGCGAGGUUUCAUUUAGCAGGGAAUAUUUCGCACAAGUUCCUGCACUUUAUAGGAAUAAGGAUGUCGAAGCGGCUGAGUUUUUAUGGUCUGGUAGCCCUGGCGUCCAUCUGCAUCUUCUUCCUAGCAUUUAACCAACGCUACAGCAGCUACCUCGAGCAUCGACUGCAGCCGGUGAUAUCGGUCAGUAAAAAUUCGGAGGUGGGGAUUGCUCUAAAUUGAGUCACGCCAAACACGCUCUUUCUGACGGUAAAGUCUUUUGCACCUCUAACUCUUUCUUAUCAAUCUCUUACACAUUAACGAUACUUGGCAAAACGAAAACUCCGCAUAAAUGAUCGACGCACAUUCUUCUUUCUCCCUUUAUUUUUCCCCGUCUCAAAUUUCCUUCCUCUUUCAUGCACCGUUUCAGGACUAUCGUUUACAAAAUGUUAUCGGAGACCGCUGUAUCAGCGGAUAAUAUUUUGUAAAUUGUACAAAAUGUGCUAUCAGAUGUUGUCGAGGAAAGAUAGAAAAGAUAAAAAAAUUUAAAGUUAAUGAUUUAUGAUACUAGAAUUUUUCGAAAUGUUGUUGAUUAACCUUGUUUGUAAUAUUUAAUUCUGCGUACUGAUAAUGUAUAUUGUCGUUUGAUAAAUCUUUUUCGUACGUCUGAUUACAAUGUCUGGAAAACAGGUGCAAUAUAAUUAUUUAUCAUGGUUAGCAUGCUUGCGCGUAGACUCUCACUUUUAUAGCAAUUCACACUCUUAACUUAUAUGAUAAUAUAAU